ACAAGGAAUAUGAAAAAUUUUAUAAAAUUUUGUGGGAACUAAACAAGGCCAGGAAUGAAGGGUUUUUAAUUAACUCAUGAGGUAGCCAUGUUCGAGAUUGGUGUUUCUUGUUUUUUUUUCUUGCGAAAUCGACAUCGGUGAAUUUGGUAAGGUGUAUACAACGUUUCGUCGAUCUAUAGGUGCACGACUGCCAUUAGGAUAGCUAUAACGAUCGUGCAAUAUAAUUGUAGGAAAAGGAAAGAGUACUAGUACUAUGAUUUAGGUCUUGUUUAGUUCACCCCGAAAUCCAAAAAGUUUUCAAAAUUCUCUAUUACAUCGAAUCUUGCGGCACAUAUAUGAAGCAUUAAAUAGACAAAAAUAAAAACUAAUCACAU
rnacentral:lncRNA from 1 species